UACGAAGGGGGCUAGCGUUGCUCGGAAUUACUGGGCGUAAAGGGCGCGUAGGCGGACAGUUAAGUCAGAGGUGAAAGCCCAGGGCUCAACCCUGGAAUAGCCUUUGAUACUGGCUGUCUUGAGUGCGGGAGAGGUGUGUGGAACUCCGAGUGUAGAGGUGAAAUUCGUAGAGAUCCCCAAGAACACCAGUUGCGAAGGCGGCUGACUGGACACAUAUUGACGCUGAGGCUCGAAAGCAUGGGGAGCAAACAGG
rnacentral:rRNA from 1 species